AACAGAGUGGUGUACUGGUUUGUGUGUUGGACUAUGACUCUAGAGACCAGGGUUCGAUUCCCAGCUUGGCCA